GCAGCAGCUUCAGCAGGAACAGCAGUAGAAGCCUGCUGCUGCAAGGAAAGAAGAAGAAAGAAAAGAAAAGAAAGAAAGAAAAGAAAACAAGAAAGAAAGGAAAUGAAAUAGAGAGAAAAAAUGAAAUCGAAGUCUUUGGGCAGAUUUCAUUAAUUAUUUUUGAGAUUCUUGGGUUAAAAAGUGUUGAAUUACUCUAGUGAAUUGUGAAAUUGCAUUGAAACGAGCUUCUAUAGAAAUUGACCCCGAUAAUGCACUUUUGCAGGAUAGAAGUCCUAAAGCGAAAUUGACCGCGUACAAACCUAAUUGGGGGUAAAGAAAACGCGUUGGCGAAGUCGGUUCGGCAAUCCGUCGCUCCUACGCGAAGAUAUCGCCAAAAGAAGAUUUUCGGCGUCGAUAGUCGCGAGCGCGGGUCGCGGUUCUCGGGAAAGCGCUAGAAGCACAUUUCUCCCCUUCCGGCAUCAAAGAAAGGUUACACGCGAGCGGCGCGGCGGCGCGAGGACAGGGCGUAGCUUUGUAGAUAGCGCCCCACCACUGAGACUGAGAUAGCAACACCCUGAAGAGGUCAAGUUCAGAGUUCAAAUGGAAAGAAACAAAAUUGUAGUAAUUUGUAUAAGUUUCGUAUUAACUUAAAAGCAUAUGUGGUUAUGUAAAUAUAAAAUAUUGUAAAUGUAAAAGAAUCUCUGAGAUGAAUACUUGUAAUA